rnacentral:hammerhead_ribozyme from 1 species
AUUCAGCUGACGAGUCCCGAAUAGGGCGAAACGCGCGUCCUUUAU